ACAUCGCUGCACGCUGGCACAGCUCACGUAACCAAACGGGUCCACAAGACAUUUUCACGAAGACGCUGUCACCCUCCAAACUGCAGAGGGCGGUAAUACACCACAAAGUACGAAACUGUAACCACAUCAACGCUGGGUCAGCUGCGCAUGAGCACAAGAGGAGACGGCGACAGCGUGCGGCUUUCGUUUUGUUUUUUUGCAGGUGUCUGAUGCUCGUUCCAUGCUGAUGCUAUGAGCAGUCGCAGGAUUUUUCACGUCGGUAUCAUCCUGGGCGCCGCCGGCGUUGUGGCAGGCUUCUGGAUGAUUAGUGACGCCAGCGAGGAGCGCAGAAAGAACAUUUUGAAGCACCUACCCAGUUCAUCACAGAUGGAGCAGACCAAACAUUGGAAUGACGUCCAGUUCCAGAUACUGAAAAAGGCAGCAGAAACUGAUGAAAACAUUACAAGGAAUAUUGGCAAAUAAGACCUUCCUUUCAAAGACAUUUAGUUUGUGCCCUUCCUAUGACUUUCUGGGCCUUCAUUCUUCAGUAGCACCUUGAGCAGAAAAGAAAUAUAAACCAGGCAAAAUCAUUUUGGAGUAUCACAUUUGUUUUUGAUGGAGUUUUAAGGAUGACUUGGUUUAAUGCGUCCAUACAAACAAUUUCUAAAGAUUUAGAAAUUGUUAAAUGAUUGAAAAAAAAUAUGGUGGUCACCAUACCUGCAUUUUUUUACUCUGUCAUUUGUCAGUAAAUGUAAAGAUUUUCAGGGCAUUAAAAAUUAAAAGAGAAUUACAAAGUG